CUACUACUAAAUUACAUAUUCAGCCCUCUAAUUCAAAAUUUUAACGGAACUCUUUUCUGUGAAAUAUUAUAUAAAAGGCUAACUGUUUCAUUCCUUUGAUAUCUCUUAGAGAAUUUCAGGCUGACUUUAUGUUCAAUGUAUGUCUCUUUAUAUAAACUAAUACAGUAUAACUAUAAAAGUAUAACUAGAAAAGUCUGUUUUCUUGAUAAUUGAUUUCAUUUUAAUAAAAGAUAUCUUAGCAUCCUUUUUAAAAAAAUGCAGAUCACUUGAGGUAAAAUAUGAGUUGUUAGAAUGAACUCUUUAAAGUUUUCUCCCUAAAAUUGUUCCUAGCACUCAAUGAUCUGUGAGUAUCACACAGGACCUGUGUAAGGGUAGAUAUUUUAACACAGAAGUUUUAACUUGAAAAAUUGCACAGCAUGUGUAUUUUCAGUAGAAGGUCUUGGAAGAACCUCAGUCGAGCUACUAUUUUCGUUCCAUACGUUUAGGUCUACUUACAGAUAUUGUGUCAACAUGUGGCAGUCUUGUUGGAGCUUGGAGCUAAGAUGUUAAAAAUUAAAAAGUAUUGCUUCAGGGUAGGGGGGCAGGAAAGAUGAUGGAAUGAGAUAGACAUCAUUAUGCUAAGUACAUGUAUGAUUGCACAUAUGGUGUGACGCUACAUUGUGUACAACCAUUGAAUUGUAAAGUUGUGCUGCAGUUGUGUACAAUGAAUCAAAAUGCAUUCUGCUGUCAUAUAUGCCUAAUUUUAAAAAAAUAAAUAAAUUUAAAAAAAAUAAGUGUUGCUUCAUAGGAUACAGCCAGGUCUAUUACAUCUAAG
rnacentral:lncRNA from 1 species